UACGUAGGGUCCAAGCGUUAAUCGGAAUUACUGGGCGUAAAGCGUGCGCAGGCGGUUCGUUAAGUCAGCUGUGAAAGCCCCGAGCUUAACUUGGGAAUUGCGGUUGAAACUGGCGGACUAGAAUCUGGCAGAGGGGGGUGGAAUUCCACGUGUAGCAGUGAAAUGCGUAGAGAUGUGGAGGAACACCGAUGGCGAAGGCAGCCCCCUGGGCUGAGAUUGACGCUCAGGCACGAAAGCGUGGGGAGCAAACAGG
rnacentral:rRNA from 1 species